rnacentral:rRNA from 1 species
GACGAACGCUGGCGGCGUGCCUAAUACAUGCAAGUCGAGCGCAAAGGCCUGGUACUUGUACCAACUGCAUGAGCAGCGAACGGGUGAGUAACGCGUGGAGAAUCUGCCUGUGAGCGGGGGACAACAUGGGGAAACGAGCGCUAAUACCGCAUAAAAUCUUGAAACACAAGGUUGAAGGGUGAAAGAUGGAAUUGCAUCACGCAAAGAUGAUCUCGCGUCGUAUUAGCUAGGUGGUGAGGUAAAGGCUCACCAAGGGGAAGAUAGAUUGCCCACCUGAGAGGGUGGUUGGCCACCUUGGGACUGGGACACGGCCCAAGCUCCUUCGGGAGGCAGCAGUACGGAAUCUUCGGCAAUGGGCGGAAGUCUGACCGAGCAACGCCGCGUGAGUGGAGAAAGUUUUCGGGUCGUAAAACUCUGUUGGUGGGGAAGAACGUUUGUGGGAGUGGAAAGCUCAUCAAGUGACGGUAACUACUCAGAAAGCGGCGGCUAACUACGUG